rnacentral:rRNA from 1 species
CGAUUAGGAAGCACCGGCUAACUCCGUGCCAGCAGCCGCGGUAAUACGGAGGGUGCGAGCGUUGUUCGGAUUUAUUGGGCGUAAAGCGCGUGUAGGCGGUCUUUUAAGUCUGAUGUGAAAGCCCCGGGCUCAACCUGGGAAGUGCAUUGGAAACUGGGAGACUUGUAUACGGGAGAGGGUAGUGGAAUUCCUGGUGUAGGAGUGAAAUCCGUAGAUAUCAGGAGGAACACCGGUGGCGAAGGCGGCUGCCUGGACCGAUAUUGACGCUGAGACGCGAAAGCGUGGGGAGCAAACAGGAUUAGAUACCCUGGUAGUCCACGCGGUAAACGAUGAGUACUAGGUGUCGCGGGU